rnacentral:rRNA from 1 species
GGUUAAGCGACUAAGCGUACACGGUGGAUGCCCUGGCAGUCAGAGGCGAUGAAGGACGUGCUAAUCUGCGAAAAGCGUCGGUAAGGUGAUAUGAACCGUUAUAACCGGCGAUGUCCGAAUGGGGAAACCCAGUGCAAUUCGUUGCACUAUCGUUAACUGAAUACAUAGGUUAACGAGGCGAACCGGGGGAACUGAAACAUCUAAGUACCCCGAGGAAAAGAAAUCAACCGAGAUUCCCCCAGUAGCGGCGAGCGAACGGGGAGCAGCCCAGAGUCUGAAUCAGCUUGUGUGUUAGUGGAACGGUCUGGAAAGUCCGACGGUACAGGGUGAUAGUCCCGUACACCAAAAUGCACAGGCUGUGAACUCGAAGAGUAGGGCGGGACACGUGGUAUCCUGUCUGAAUAUGGGGGGACCAUCCUCCAAGGCUAAAUACUCCUGACUGACCGAUAGUGAACCAGUACCGUGAGGGAAAGGCGAAAAGAACCCCGGCGAGGGGAGUGAAAAAGAACCUGAAACCGUGUACGUACAAGCAGUGGGAGCACCUUCGGGUGUGACUGCGUACCUUUUGUAUAAUGGGUCAGCGACUUAUAUUCUGUAGCAAGGUUAACCGUAUAGGGGAGCCGCAGGGAAACCGAGUCUUAACUGGGCGUUAAGUUGCAGGGUAUAGACCCGAAACCCGGUGAUCUAGCCAUGGGCAGGUUGAAGGUUGGGUAACACUAACUGGAGGACCGAACCGACUAAUGUUGAAAAAUUAGCGGAUGACUUGUGGCUGGGGGUGAAAGGCCAAUCAAACCGGGAGAUAGCUGGUUCUCCCCGAAAGCUAUUUAGGUAGCGCCUCGUGAAUUCAUCUUCGGGGGUAGAGCACUGUUUCGGCUAGGGGGUCAUCCCGACUUACCAACCCGAUGCAAACUACGAAUACCGAAGAAUGUUAUCACGGGAGACACACGGCGGGUGCUAACGUCCGUCGUGAAGAGGGAAACAACCCAGACCGCCAGCUAAGGUCCCAAAGUCAUGGUUAAGUGGGAAACGAUGUGGGAAGGCACAGACAGCCAGGAUGUUGGCUUAGAAGCAGCCAUCAUUUAAAGAAAGCGUAAUAGCUCACUGGUCGAGUCGGCCUGCGCGGAAGAUGUAACGGGGCUAAACCAUGCACCGAAGCUGCGGCAGCGACACUAUGUGUUGUUGGGUAGGGGAGCGUUCUGUAAGCCUGCGAAGGUGACCUGUGAGGGUUGCUGGAGGUAUCAGAAGUGCGAAUGCUGACAUAAGUAACGAUAAAGCGGGUGAAAAGCCCGCUCGCCGGAAGACCAAGGGUUCCUGUCCAACGUUAAUCGGGGCAGGGUGAGUCGACCCCUAAGGCGAGGCCGAAAGGCGUAGUCGAUGGGAAACAGGUUAAUAUUCCUGUACUUGGUGUUACUGCGAAGGGGGGACGGAGAAGGCUAUGUUAGCCGGGCGACGGUUGUCCCGGUUUAAGCAUGUAGGCUGAUUAUCCAGGCAAAUCCGGAUAAUCAAGGCUGAGGUGUGAUGACGAGGCACUACGGUGCUGAAGUAACAAAUGCCCUGCUUCCAGGAAAAGCCUCUAAGCAUCAGGUAACAUCAAAUCGUACCCCAAACCGACACAGGUGGUCAGGUAGAGAAUACCAAGGCGCUUGAGAGAACUCGGGUGAAGGAACUAGGCAAAAUGGUGCCGUAACUUCGGGAGAAGGCACGCUGGUGUGUAGGUGAAGCCCCUGCGGGUGGAGCUGAGACCAGUCGAAGAUACCAGCUGGCUGCAACUGUUUAUUAAAAACACAGCACUGUGCAAACACGAAAGUGGACGUAUACGGUGUGACGCCUGCCCGGUGCCGGAAGGUUAAUUGAUGGGGUUAUCCGUAAGGAGAAGCUCUUGAUCGAAGCCCCGGUAAACGGCGGCCGUAACUAUAACGGUCCUAAGGUAGCGAAAUUCCUUGUCGGGUAAGUUCCGACCUGCACGAAUGGCGUAAUGAUGGCCAGGCUGUCUCCACCCGAGACUCAGUGAAAUUGAACUCGCUGUGAAGAUGCAGUGUACCCGCGGCAAGACGGAAAGACCCCGUGAACCUUUACUAUAGCUUGACACUGAACAUUGAGCCUUGAUGUGUAGGAUAGGUGGGAGGCUUUGAAGCGUGGACGCCAGUCUGCGUGGAGCCAACCUUGAAAUACCACCCUUUAAUGUUUGAUGUUCUAACGUUGGCCCCUAAUCGGGGUUGCGGACAGUGUCUGGUGGGUAGUUUGACUGGGGCGGUCUCCUCCCAAAGCGUAACGGAGGAGCACGAAGGUUAGCUAAUCCUGGUCGGACAUCAGGAGGUUAGUGCAAUGGCAUAAGCUAGCUUGACUGCGAGCGUGACGGCGCGAGCAGGUGCGAAAGCAGGUCAUAGUGAUCCGGUGGUUCUGAAUGGAAGGGCCAUCGCUCAACGGAUAAAAGGUACUCCGGGGAUAACAGGCUGAUACCGCCCAAGAGUUCAUAUCGACGGCGGUGUUUGGCACCUCGAUGUCGGCUCAUCACAUCCUGGGGCUGAAGUAGGUCCCAAGGGUAUGGCUGUUCGCCAUUUAAAGUGGUACGCGAGCUGGGUUUAGAACGUCGUGAGACAGUUCGGUCCCUAUCUGCCGUGGGCGCUGGAGAAUUGAGGGGGGCUGCUCCUAGUACGAGAGGACCGGAGUGGACGCAUCACUGGUGUUCGGGUUGUCAUGCCAAUGGCACUGCCCGGUAGCUAAAUGCGGAAGAGAUAAGUGCUGAAAGCAUCUAAGCACGAAACUUGCCCCGAGAUGAGUUCUCCCUGAGACUUUAAGUCUCCUGAAGGAACGUUGAAGACGACGACGUUGAUAGGCCGGGUGUGUAAGCGCAGCGAUGCGUUGAGCUAACCGGUACUAAUGAACCGUGAGGCUUAACCUU